UGAUUGAUGGUGCUUGCAUCUGAUUGACGAUGGAUCACCAGUGAGUGGCGGACGGGUGAGUAACACGUAGGUAACCUGCCCCGGAGCGGGGGAUGACAUUUGGAAACAGAUGAUAAUACCGCAUAACAACAAAAGCCGCAUGGCUUUUGUUUGAAAGAUGGCUUUGGCUAUCACUCUGGGAUGGACCUGCGGUGCAUUAGCUAGUUGGUAAGGUAAAGGCUUACCAAGGCGAUGAUGCAUAGCCGAGUUGAGAGACUGAUCGGCCACAAUGGAACUGAGACACGGUCCAUACUCCUACGGGAGGCAGCAGUAGGGAAUCUUCCACAAUGGGCGCAAGCCUGAUGGAGCAACACCGCGUGAGUGAAGAAGGGUUUCGGCUCGUAAAGCUCUGUUGUUGGAGAAGAACGUGCGUGAGAGUAACUGUUCACGCAGUGACGGUAUCCAACCAGAAAGUCACGGCUAACUACGUGCCAGCAGCCGCGGUAAUACGUAGGUGGCAAGCGUUAUCCGGAUUUAUUGGGCGUAAAGCGAGCGCAGGCGGUUGCUUAGGUCUGAUGUGAAAGCCUUCGGCUUAACCGAAGAAGUGCAUCGGAAACCGGGCGACUUGAGUGCAGAAGAGGACAGUGGAACUCCAUGUGUAGCGGUGGAAUGCGUAGAUAUAUGGAAGAACACCAGUGGCGAAGGCGGCUGUCUGGUCUGCAACCGACGCUG
rnacentral:rRNA from 1 species